rnacentral:rRNA from 1 species
CAGGACGACGCUGGCGGCGUGCCUAAUACAUGCAAGUCAACGGCUUUUCUACGGAAGCUUGCUUCCACUGAGAAGAUAGUGGCGAACGGGUGAGUAACACGUGGGUAACCUGCCCAUAAGAGGGGGAUAACAUCCGGAAACGGGUGCUAAUACCGCAUAGUUUUCUUGAUCGCAUGAUUGAGAAAGGGAAGACGGCCUUUGUGCUGUCGCUUAUGGAUGGACCCGCGGCGUAUUAGUUAGUUGGUGAGGUAACGGCUCACCAAGACGAUGAUACGUAGCCGACCUGAGAGGGUGAUCGGCCACAUUGGGACUGAGACACGGCCCAAACUCCUACGGGAGGCAGCAGUAGGGAAUCUUCCGCAAUGGACGAAAGUCUGACGGAGCAACGCCGCGUGAGUGAAGAAAGGUUUUCGGAUCGUAAAACUCUGUUGUCAGAGAAGAACAAGUUGGAGAGUAACUGCUCCAGCCUUGACGGUAUCUGACCAGAAAGCCACGGCUAACUACGUGCCAGCCGCCGC